UAAACCUACAAUUUUUACUUUUUACCUACAAUUUUUAACUCUUCGUCUUAUUCAAAUUUUUUUUACGAUUGAUAUUUUUGUUUUUAUUAGAUAAUAAAUCAUCAAUAUUACUUUACGUGUGACUAAUUUUUUUUAAUUUUCUGAAAAUUUUUUAAAAUAAAACGGAUGAUCAAACGUUGAACAUGAAACCGGAGAAUUGAUCUUUUU
rnacentral:pre_miRNA from 1 species